rnacentral:tRNA from 1 species
GCGCCCGUAGCUCAAUUGGAUAGAGCGCCUGACUACGAAUCAGGAGGUUGCAGGUUCAAGUCCUGCCGGGCGUACCA